rnacentral:rRNA from 1 species
CCCUUAGACGUUCUGGGCCGCACGCGCGCUACACUGACGAAGGCAACGAGCUUUCCUUUACCGAAAGGUACGGGUAAUCUUUUGAAACUUCGUCGUGCUGGGGAUAGAUCCUUGCAAUUUUUGAUCUUAAACGAGGAAUUCCUAGUAAGCGCAAGUCAUCAACUUGCGUUGAUUACGUCCCUGCCCUUUGUACACACCGCCCGUCGCUACUACCGAUUGAAUGGUUUAGUGAGGCCUUCGGAUCCGCGACUCGUUUUGUGGAGAAGUUGGACAAACUCAGUCAUUUAGAGGAAGUAAAAGUCGCAACA